rnacentral:rRNA from 1 species
GUGAAGCGGCAACAGCUCAAAUUUGAAAUCUGGCCUCCUCGAGGUCCGAGUUGUAAUUUGUAGAGGGUGCUUCGGGUGCGAUGCCGGUUUAAGUUCCUUGGAACAGGACGUCGUAGAGGGUGAGAAUCCCGUAUGCGACCGGCGAUCAAGCCCGUGCGAAGCCCCUUCGACGAGUCGAGUUGUUUGGGAAUGCAGCUCAAAAUGGGUGGUAAAUUUCAUCUAAAGCUAAAUAUUGGCCAGAGACCGAUAGCGGACAAGUAGAGUGAUCGAAAGAUGAAAAGCACUUUGGAAAGAGAGUCAAACAGUACGUGAAAUUGUUGAAAGGGAAGCGCUUGCAAUCAGACCGGUCCGGAGGCGAUCAGCCGCUGCUCGUCAGCGGUGCACUCGCCUGCGAUCCGGCCAGCAUCGGUUUGGGCGGCGGGAUAAAAGUCCCGGGAAUGUAGCUUCUCCCGGGGAGUCUUAUAGCCCGGGUCGCAAUGCCGCCCGCCCGGACCGAGGACCGCG